rnacentral:rRNA from 1 species
AUUGAACGCUGGCGGCAGGCCUAACACAUGCAAGUCGAGCGGUAGCACAGAAGAGCUUGCUCUUUGGGUGACGAGCGGCGGACGGGUGAGUAAUGUCUGGGAAACUGCCUGAUGGAGGGGGAUAACUACUGGAAACGGUAGCUAAUACCGCAUAACCUCGCAAGAGCGAAGAGGGGGACCUUCGGGCCUCUCGCCAUCAGAUGUGCCCAGAUGGGAUUAGCUAGUAGGUGAGGUAAUGGCUCACCUAAGCGACGAUCCCUAGCUGGUCUGAGAGGAUGACCAGCCACACUGGAACUGAGACACGGUCCAGACUCCUACGGGAGGCAGCAGUGGGGAAUAUUGCACAAUGGGCGCAAGCCUGAUGCAGCCAUGCCGCGUGUGUGAAGAAGGCCUUCGGGUUGUAAAGCACUUUCAGCGGGGAGGAAGGCGGUAAGGUUAAUAACCUUAUCGAUUGACGUUACCCGCAGAAGAAGCACCGGCUAACUCCGUGCCAGCCGCCGCAGUAA